rnacentral:rRNA from 1 species
CGUGUAGGCGGUUGGGUAAGUCAGAUGUGAAAGCCUUCUGCUUAACAGAAGAAGUGCAUUUGAAACUGCUCGGCUAGAGUACGGGAGAGGAGAGUGGAAUUCCCGGUGUAGAGGUGAAAUUCGUAGAUAUCGGGAGGAACACCAGUGGCGAAGGCGGCUCUCUGGUCCGAUACUGACGCUGAGACGCGAAAGCGUGGGGAGCAAACAGGAUUAGAUACCCUGGUGGUCCACGCCGUAAACGAUGGGCACUAGGUGUAGGAGGUAUUGACCCCUUCUGUGCCGAAGCUAACGCAUUAAGUGCCCCGCCUGGGGAGUACGGCCGCAAGGCUAAA